UCCAAGAAGUCUGCGUUUGAGUCCUGCCUCCUCCACGCAUCCUUGACAGGGUGGCGUUGUCUGGCAACAUUAUAAUAUUUGAAUUGCCCUCACCCAUCACGACAUUAUAAUAUUUGAAUUGCCCUGCAGAGUGUCAAGCUGGCCCUAGAGGAGUGGAGGCACUGACUAGAGGGGACCGAGCAUCCGUUUUUGGUCUGCACUGACCACAGGAACCUGGAGUACAUCAGAUCAGCUAAGAGACUACUCCAAACAAACCAGUUGAGGCAGUAACAUGGGCAGUCGAGGAAGAGGUCAAGGGUGCUCUCAAGAGGAGCAAGGCCUCUCAUCGCCCGCCCAGCUUACUCCAGCCUUUUCCCACCCCUCGGCGGCCAUGGUCCCAUAUCUCCAUUGAUUUUGUCACUGGUCUCCCAGCCUC